AUCCAUCCAACGAUUCGACUCAGUGCAAGUAAGUAAACGGAGGGGCGUACUCACAAUCUUCAGAUACUAUAAUUUUCUGGGCGUCGUCUGUGUCAUAAACUCGAGAAGUCGAGGCAAGUCCUAUAAUAUAACAAUGCUCCAUGCAUUCUUUGUAUCAGCUUUUUCCGUGGAUUAGCAGCUGAGGAAACUCCAGUUGGUCCAGAUACCCAAAUUGGUCUACCUCCACAUGUGGAUGAUUGUUCAACAUCCUGUGUUGUUAACGAUUGUAAAAUCCGUUAUCCCGCCCCUUAUAUCUGUAUUACUCUCAGAGGACGUUCCUUUUUGAUGAAAAGGUGGCUGUAGAUAAUCCAUAUCAAACGAGAAUAUGUUUUCUUUUGACGAAGACAUACACAAGCUUAAAUGUGAAGAAAUUUAAUAAAGUGAAAUCGAAUAAACAAUAAUCAUAUUAUUAAAACACAUAAAUACAAUAAUUAGAAUAAAUCAUGCAUAAUCGUUAUCAAAUUGAGAUUACAGUAAUAUUUCUGAUGAAAUGUAAUAAUUUUUAGUGUAAUAUCGAAAAUCGCAACUCUAUGGGAUGUAAAUUUUGGCGUUUAUAAG